UAGUAAAGCCAGCUAAUUAAGCUUUUGGGCCCAUACCCCAAACAUGUUGGUUAAACUCCCUCCUUUACUA
rnacentral:tRNA from 1 species